rnacentral:rRNA from 1 species
GGGAGNACGNUCGNCAAGGCUGAAACUCAAAGGAAUNGACCGGGGGCCCGCAACAANCGGUGGAGCCAUGUGGUUCAAUUCGACGCAACGCGAAGAACCUUACCCAGGCUUGAACAGCGAGUGACAUUCGGCGAAAGCCGGCUUCCGAAAGGACACUNGUAGAGGUGCUGCCAUGGCUGUCGUCAGCUCGUGUCGUGAGAUGUUGGGUUAAGUCCCGCAACGAGCGCAACCCUUGUCCUCUGUUGCCAUCAGGUUAUGCUGGGCACUCUGAGGAGACUGCCGGUGAUAAACCGGAGGAAGGUGGGGAUGACGUCAAGUCAGCAUGGCCUUUAUGUCUGGGGCUACACACGUGCUACAAUGGCCGAUACAAACCGUCGCGAUGCCGCAAGGUGGAGCUAAUCGGAGAAAGUCGGUCUCAGUUCGGAUUGCAGGCUGCAACUCGCCUGCAUGAAGUUGGAAUCGCUAGUAAUCGCGGAUCAGCACGCCGCGGUGAAUACGUUCCCGGGCCUUGUACACACCGCCCGUCACAUCACGAAAGCUGGCUGUACUAGAAGUCGCCGCGCUAACCCGCAAGGGAUGGUAAGCGCCUAAGGUAUGGUUAGUGAUUGGGGUGAAGUCGUAANCAAGGUAUC